GUUAAAAGUGGCAUAUUUGCUUUAAACUUUGAAUGCAUCGGGCCGAAAAAGACACGGUAAUAGCUACCCUACAGUGCAGCAUGGCUUCACAACUUCCACGGCGAAUCAUUAAGGAAACCCAGCGAUUGAUGGCCGAGCCAGUUCCGGGGAUAAGCGCCGUGCCCGACGAGCAGAAUGCCAGAUACUUUCACGUGGUGGUCACAGGUCCUGAAGGCUCGCCAUUUGAUGGAGGUGUAUUCAAGCUAGAACUGUUCCUGCCCGAAGAGUACCCGAUGUCGGCGCCUAAAGUUCGUUUCAUGACAAAAAUCUACCACCCGAACAUCGACAAGCUAGGCAGGAUCUGUCUUGACAUUCUUAAAGACAAGUGGUCGCCGGCGCUGCAGAUCCGAACCGUGCUGCUCUCGAUCCAGGCGCUGCUCAGCGCGCCCAACCCGGACGAUCCGCUCGCCAACGACGUGGCCGAGCUGUGGAAGUGCGACGAGGCGGAGGCGAUCCGGAACGCGCGCGACUGGACCCGACUGUACGCCAUGGGCGGCAACUGAGGCAGCCGUGCCGGCCCGAACUAGCAACCAAUUGGACGGAGGCGAGCGCGAUCCUCGGCGGAUGGCCGUCAGGGGCGCAGUACCGGGGGUAAGACUGCUGGAUCUGGGGUGACCGGGGACCCGCUGGGGCGCCCCAUCCGGCCCGGUGCCGCGAUGGAGUCUGCGCUGCCGAGAGGCCCUGCCCCCGUAAUUGUCCGGCGCGCGCCCGUCUCCACGGUCGGAACUGUGCUAACCCCGUCACAUUCCCAGUGUCACGGUACCGACUCCCCGCCUGUGAUAGGGCGGCCCGACCAGCCCGCCCGCCGCGCCGCAGGCACCACCUCCGCCGCCGACCGGUCACAACCAGUGUGUGUAACGGUGGCGCCGCCUGGGCUGAGAGCGGACCGCCCGCAGUGGCAUUUGCGUAUUGUCCGGCCUGACGUGCGCCGCCAGUCCGCUGGAAGACCGGUUUUUUUUAUUUGUCUGGCAGCCGUGCUUAUCAGCCAGCCGUUUUCACAGUUGAGCGUUUCACGUUGGGGCGGGAUUUUAACGUUGUCUGAUGUAUCAUGUUUCGCCGUAGGUGGAUGUCCUAUCCAGACCGUGGAGAAGUGGCUGAAUAAUUUGAAUGCGAAGCUUAGUGAAUGGACCGUUCUGACGUUAUGUACCUAUCCAAUAUACAUUAUACAUACGUGUACUUACAUGAA
rnacentral:misc_RNA from 1 species